rnacentral:lncRNA from 1 species
UUAUUGCAAUCAGUUAUCAUGCCAAAUACUUGGAUCUGUGAUCCAGCUAUUUCACUUGAAUAUACAGAAAGAGUUAAGAGCUUUAUUAAUUAAAUAAGAUGUACCCAAGUUAUUCUGAAAUUUAAUGAAAUACAGCUGUUACUGUGAUGCAUGGUAAUUAGCUCUAAGUCACAGGAAAUUUGUAAAAGACUGUCACUGUGUCAACAUUAAUUUUUACACAAUUGAAUCCAAUUUUUAAAAAC